UAUUGCUCUUUAACGAGGAAUCCCUAGUAAGUACAAGUCACUAGCUUGUGCUGAUUACGUCCCUGCCCUUUGUACACACCGCCCGUCGCUACUACCGAUUGAAUGGCUUAGUGAGGCCUUCGGAUUGAAAUUCGGAGACUGGCAACAGACUCUUGGUUUUGAAAAGUUGGACAAACUUGGUCAUUUAGAGGAAGUAAAAGUCGUAACAAGGUUUCCGUAGGUGAACCUGCGGAAGGAUCAUUACCGAUUUUUAGCGGACCUGAUCUUUGAUCAUGGUCUCGCGAAAACUUGUAUUUAAAACCCCACUCUUAUAAAUUGAAUCAUUUUAUAUUAUGUAUGUAAUAAAUAAAGAUCACUUUCAACAACGGAUCUCUUGGCUCUCGCAUCGAUGAAGAACGUAGCGAAGUGCGAUAAGUAAUGUGAAUUGCAGAAUUCCGUGAAUCAUCGAAUCUUUGAACGCAAAUUGCACUCUCUGGUAACCCGGGGAGUAUGCCUGUUUGAGGGUCAGUGUUAAUAAAAAUCGGUGCGUUGCAAUUUUUGUGAUGUUCCGGAGUUUGAGUUAUCUUAUCUUUUGAGUUUAAGAGGCUUAAAAUUGACCUUUUUUGUGCAUUUUAGACGUACAUAAAUUUUUUUUUUAUUCGUUUAUCUUAAUGCCAAAAUCUAUUAGAUGCGACCAUAUCAUGUGGUUCCGCGUCUAUAAAUUUUUCAUGAUUUGACCUCAAAUCAGGUAGGAACACCCGCUGAACUUAAGCAUAUCAAUAAGCGGAGGAAAAGAAAAUAACAAUGAUUCCCCUAGUAACUGCGAGUGAAGAGGGACAAGCUCAAAUUUUAAAUCUAUCGGGUUUUACCUGAUCGAGUUGUAAUUUGAAGAUGGCGUUUUCUGUGUUUCUGAUCAGUCCAAGUCCUUUGGGAUAAGGCAUCAUGAGGGUGAGAAUCCCGUUCGGUGAUCAGAUUCGCUUACGAUACGUUAUCAAAGAGUCAGUUGUUUGGAUGCAGCUAAAAUGGGGAGGUAAAUUUCUCUAGCUAAUAACGGCGAAGAGACGGAUAGCGACAGUACGUGAGGAAAGAUGAAAGAACCUUGGAAAGAGAGUAACAGUACCGGCACGUGAAGAACGAAUGGACAGCGACUCGGUCUCGCCUUGGCGUGAAGUAGGACGGUGAAGAGUCACAUGACUGGGGGAAUGUAGCUUCGAUCUUGUAUUGAAGUGUUAUAGCCUUCGGUAGAUGUGAUGAUCGAGAUUGAGGAUUGCAACGGAUACCCUUCGGGGCUACCUGUCUGGUCUCUGAUCGUUGCUCUGGUGCCGAAAGCUUGCUUACGGUUAUCAAAGUCGAUGGUCAAUAGGUUAGAACGGGUUAAAUUCGUUAAGGAUGUUGACGUAAUGGCUUUAAACGACCCGUCUUGAAACACGGACCAAGGAGUCUAACAUAUAUGCGAGUGUUA
rnacentral:rRNA from 1 species